UACGAAGUGGGCUAGCGUUGCUCGGAAUCACUGGGCGUAAAGGGUGCGUAGGCGGGUCUUUAAGUCAGGGGUGAAAUCCUGGAGCUCAACUCCAGAACUGCCUUUGAUACUGAGGAUCUUGAGUUCGGGAGAGGUGAGUGGAGCUGCGAGUGUAGAGGUGAAAUUCGUAGAUAUUCGCAAGAACACCAGUGGCGAAGGCGGCUCACUGGCCCGAUACUGACGCUGAGGCACGAAAGCGUGGGGAGCAAACAGG
rnacentral:rRNA from 1 species